GCCUUUCUCAGGACGUAACACAGGCAACACGGAAAGAGCUGGCUUGCGAGCUCCCUGCUUAACAGAAGGCUCAGUUGCCCAAGUGACGAAGGCAUUGUGGGGCACGAACCAGGCUUUGGUGAAUUUAUCUCAUUAUACACCAGGAGUUAUAAUUUAAAAACCAGUGUCAUAUAAAGAAGAAAAAAGAUAUGGUGAGAUACAAUACCAUUAACACUUCUUCAGAAACGGAUUUUAAAGCAGAACUUCCAUGACUGUGAAAUCCAACCGGGUGCGCGACCACGAGGAAGGAUGGCGAGGGAGGAAACCGCGCUUUGUUGUUGAGGUGAGCCGGGUGCGCGACCACGAGGAAGGAUGGCGAGGGAGGAAACCGCGCUUUGUUGGUGAGGUGAAACGGGUGCGCGACCAUGAGGA
rnacentral:lncRNA from 1 species